UCCUCUGUAGUUCAGUCGGUAGAACGGCGGACUGUUAAUCCAUAUGUCACUGGUUCGAGUCCAGUCAGAGGAGCCA
rnacentral:tRNA from 3 species